UACGUAGGGGGCUAGCGUUGUCCGGAAUCAUUGGGCGUAAAGAGCGCGUAGGCGGCCAGAUAAGUCCGGUGUGAAAGUCACAGGCUCAACCUGUGAAUGCCGCUGGAAACUGUCUGGCUAGAGUCCGGAAGGGGCGAGUGGAAUUCCUGGUGUAGCGGUGAAAUGCGCAGAUAUCGGGAGGAACACCAGUGGCGAAAGCGACUUUCUGGUCCUUAACUGACGCUGAGGCGCGAAAGCAUGGGGAGCGAACGGG
rnacentral:rRNA from 1 species